CUGGGCGUUGGGAAGAAAAGAAAGGAGGAGCGUCUCUCUCUGUCUGUGUCGGGCUCCGUUCAACGGCCGCGAAGCCCCGCCCCUCUAUGGGCAUCCUGCCCGCGGCUGCCAUGUUAGGUCCGGGCGGAAGUCCACCGAGGAAGGGAGGCCUCUUCCUAGAGGGGCUCAGGACGAGAGGUCACUUCCGGAGGAGGAGGGACAGAGGAGGCCUUUCGGAGAGAGAGCGGGAGAGAGGAAGGAGGCGGAGGAGGAGGAGGAAGGGCAUUUAUACCUCGCCCUUCUCGCCCUGAAGGGGACUCAAAGCAGCUUUACAGAACACACACACAUGGCAAACACUCAGUGCCUGAUUAUACAAUCAACAAGGACAGACAACACAGACAGAGACCCAUAACCCGGACGCUUCCCUGAGCAGAGGAGAGAGGCCCCAGGGAGGGAGUGGCGGAGGCCCUGCAGAAGAAGCUCCAGGCCGGAGCGGAGGAGGAGGAGGAGGACCAGCAGGUGCAGGAAGGUAACUUCUGAAAAAGUUCUUCGAAGAACACGGCGUGAGAGCUUUGCCCGAGGAGUGCUCUAAGUCUAAAGUGACUUCAAGAUACACAGCAAUGACAACAAGAAAAAAUAAUUAGUAGAAAAAUAUAUUUCAAGUUACAAACCUAUGCAGUUAACAGGAAGAAAUAAGAUUGUGCUGAAAAAAGAGAGGCUUGGAAAAGCGAGCAGAAGGCUACAGCAAUACAAAGAUUGUGCUAUUCAGGAGGUUAUGUCUGUGAACCCCUGGCGUAAUAUUUGAAUUAUAAAUAUAAAAGAAUGGCAAGUCCUCUACCUCCCUAUCCUAGAUCACAAACACAGGAGAAGUUACAUCAGUGUGUGGAAUGUGGAAAACAAUUUGAUAGGAAAGGUUCUCUUACUAGACAUGAACGGACCCACACAGGGGAGAAGCCAUAUAAAUGCAUGGAAUGUGGGAAGAGCUUCAGUCACAGUGAUAAACUACGUUCCCAUCAAAGGACCCACACGGGGGAGAAGCCCUAUAAAUGCAUGGAAUGUGGAAAGAGCUUCAGUCAGAGUAGCAGUCUGCGUAUCCAUCAAGGGGCCCACACAGGGGUGAAACCAUAUAAAUGCAUGGAAUGUGGAGAAUACUUCAGUCACAGUACCCGUCUGCUUAUCCAUCAAAGGAAGCACACAGGGGAGAAGCCCUUUAAAUGCAUGGAAUGUGGAGAAAGCUUCAGUCACAGUACCAAUCUACGUUCUCAUCAAAGGACUCACACAGGGGAGAAGCCUUAUAAAUGCAUAGAAUGUGGAGAAAGCUUCUGUUGGAGUGGCAGCCUACGUUCCCAUCAAAGGAAGCACACAGGGGAGAAGCCAUAUAAAUGCAUGGAAUGUGGAGAAAGCUUCCAUUGGAGUGUCAGCCUACGUUCCCAUCAAAGGAAGCACACAGGGGAGAAGCCUUACAAAUGCAUGGAAUGUGAGAAGAGCUUCAGUCGCAGGGACAGCCUACGUUCCCAUCAAAGGACCCACACAGGGGAGAAGACACAUAAAUGCUUAGAAUGUGGAGAAAGCUUCAGUCGCAGUGGCAGUCUACGUUCCCAUCAAAGGAAGCACACAGGGGAGAAGCCACAUAAAUGCAUGGAAUGUGGGAAGAGCUUCAGUCAGAGUGGCAAUCUACGUUCCCAUCAAAGGACCCACACAGGGGAGAAGCCAUAUAAAUGCAUGGAAUGUGGGAAGAGCUUCAGUCACAGUGAUAAACUACGUUCCCAUCGAAGGACCCACACGGGGGAGAAGCCAUAUAAAUGCAUGGAAUGUGGGAAGAGCUUCAGUCACAGUGAUAAACUACGUUCCCAUCAAAGGACCCACACGGGGGAGAAGCCCUAUAAAUGCUUGGAAUGUGGGAAGAGCUUCAGUCAGAGUGGCAGUCUACGUUUACAUCAAAGGACCCACACAGGGGAGAAGCCACAUAAAUGCUUGGAAUGUGGGAAGAGCUUCAGUCGGAGUGGCAGUCUACGUUUACAUCAAAGGACCCACACAGGGGAGAAGCCACAUAAAUGCUUGGAAUGUGGGAAGAGCUUCAGUCGGAGUGACAUAUUACGUUCCCAUCAAAGGACCCACACAGGGGAGAAGCCAUAUAAAUGCAUGGAAUGUGGGAAGAGCUUCAGUCACAGUGAUAAACUACGGUCCCAUCAAAGGACCCACACGGGGGAGAAGCCCUAUAAAUGCAUGGAAUGUGGAGAAAGCUUCUUUCAGCGAAGCAGGCUAUGUUCCCAUAAAAUGACCCACAUGGGGGAGAAGCCUUAUAAAUGCAUGGAAUGUGGAGAAAGCUUCCGUCGGAGUGACAGUCUACAUUCCCAUCAAAAGACUCACAGGGGAGAAGCCAUAUGAAUGCAUGGAGUGUGGAGAAGGCUUCAGUCAGAGUGACCAUCUGCAUUUCCAUCAAAGGACCCACACAAGGGAGAAGCCAUACAAAUGUACCCAAUGUGAAAAGUGCUUUAGAGAAAGUUCAGCAUACAGUAGACAUCACAGAACUCAUGUUCCUCUAGAGGAGACGGGCCUUUGAGUUUCCGAGCUCUCUCUAAAAAAGCAUUGCAAGGAAAGAGGAAGGCCAGCACCUUGCUCUCUCUCCCCCAGAACUGCAGUUUGUGUGGCCUUGGCUGACGACUACUGGGAGCAGGUGUCACUCAGAGGGGCUCUUUUCUCAGCAUUGCAGCAAGCUUGGAAGGGGUUCACCUAACCUCCUCCCCAAGGAGACCCAUCGCAGGCUUCUAGGAUGAUCUGUGAAUGUUUGCUGAAAUGAGCAGCAGCUGAGAUCUCGGGAUAAAAGGUUCUGAAAAAGAAUAGCUCUUUGGUUGCAGAUAACGUCAUAUCUUCAUACUCCUGUCUCAUGUCUUGGCUCUGCUUCAUUCAACGGCAUUGAAUGUUUGCUGUGCAUGUGUAUUGUGUGGACUGUGAUCCGCCCUGAGCCCCUUUGGAGAGAUAGAGCGGAAUAUGAAUAAAGUGUUGUUAUUAUUAUUAUUAUUAUUUUGGGCUCUAGCUCUGUACCUGUAACCCUUUUCUGGACUUUGUUGUAUACUGAAUAUUUGACUCUAAAUUCUGGACUGACGUUCUGGUUUCGUUUAUGGACUGGACUUUGUUUGUAUCCCUGACUUGCUGGCUUGAUUUUGGGACUCUAAAUUCGGUUUGUACUCUUGAUAUUUGAUGAACUCUGCGUAAUGAACUCUUGGCAUAUGACCAUUGGUCUGUAACCUUGGGUCUUGUUUAUUUUUGCUCCUGACCUGGAUCUACAGUACUCGACGUGUCUGCAUUAACUGGACUCUUGACCUGCACUUGUGUUCAUUGUUCCUUCGACUGUGUGGCUCCAAUUGCAUUAUUUUUAGCCCAGUGGUUUCCAACUAGGGAUCACUUGACCAGGGACCACUCUCCAAAAUUAAUACCAAAAGGGUUACAACUCAGUUUUUGGUCAACUUUAGAUUCGGUUUGGUUAUUUGGGGUGCUGAUUCAGAAAAUGGCAUUGGACAGACCACAUCAGCUCUAGUUCCUGAUACAGAACACAUGCCACCCAGUAGUCGCCAUCUGCUCGCCCACAGAAAACCAUAUUCAAUAAACCUCGGCACUAUAAGAGGGUUUUGCGAGACUACUCGCUCUCAUUGCAAUGGUGUAGUAAUGGUGAGGCCAUGGACCCUAUUUAAGCUCUUCCGGACCAUUGGUGGCCCACGGACCACAGGUUGGCAACCACUGUUUUAGCCGGACCAAAGACUUCAGUCUUCCUGUAAGUUAAUAUGGUCUUGGCUUAUCUUUGUUUAAUAAACCUCAGAGUUUAUACUAGGAGAGCCCUGGAACACGAGACCAUCACUCUACAUGUGCAUUUAUCGUUGCUUACAGUGAAUCAUUUUUGGUAUUUGGGACUGUUUAAUCCCCACCUUUGGCAAAGGGUCCAUUAGGAUACACAACAUAUCUCCCUAACAGCAGGGAAUGGAAGGCAAAGAAUGAUGACAACGACUGAUGUACAUUCAUGAAUCAGUUCAGAUGGACACAUUAACUAAAUUGAUGAAGUAUAGAGUAUAGAACAGUAUUGAAAGGAAAUCGAGUAAACAGAUAAUCAUAUAGUGAGUGAGAGGUUUCUAGACUAUGGUUUGGGGUCCAUUAAUUUUGUUCUUAUUGUGCAAGGUGUGUGUCCUUGUUCCCUUUAUAUUUGUUAAGUAGUCAUUAAAAAAAAAGGUACCAAAGUUAUAAUUUGUGUAAAAAAAUAAAAUGCCAAAAUUGUAAUUUGUGUAAACAGGCUUUGAUUUGUUUUUCUUUUUCUGUGUUUGAAUAAAAUGUUUUUUU